GGACCUUUAUGCAACAGGGUCUGUUUAUUUGUGGGACUUGGUCAAUCCAAUUGCUUUUGACUGUCCAAUCAUCUGACCUAGGAAGCAUGCCUUCUCUGUAGUACAAGCCCUGUGAAACAAUACCCCCUAGAGAUCAAGAUGGCUCCCACCUGGAUGACAUGCAGGAAGUUAUAAAUAUCUGGCUAUUUCCCAGGCAGGGUACAAACUCUUUUGAUUGGAUUACUGCUGUAAUUUGCAAGGACUCUUGGAGGUUAGCCAGGACAACAAGGAUACAUAAUUCAAACAUCUGCAGAACACAAAUAAAAACAUCCAUGGACCAUUGCAGCAACCCCAUGGUCACAUAAUCAAAAUUCAGAGGCUUGGUAAGUGACUCAUAUUUAUAAUGGUUGCAGUGCCCUGGGGUCAUGUGAUCA
rnacentral:lncRNA from 1 species